rnacentral:lncRNA from 1 species
GGGAGAAGCAGGUUGUGGGCGCGGGGCGUGAGGCCCUGGCCGCGGGGAGCCGCUCUGAAGACGGUGCUGGGUUGGGACGGACGGCGUGGUUUCGCCUCGAUAGCUGCUGUCUUCCCAGGAAGAACGGGGGCGGGGGGGAGAUUUUGCAUGCCACAUGCUCCCCUCUCCUGUCCCAGCCCCACGAGGUCAGCCAGCUCAGAGGAACUUUUAAUUGCUCAGACACAGGAACAAAAUGACAAGUGGAAUCCCUCGUCCAACCUCAGUAUGCAGGGCCACUCCGCCAGGCUCUCUCUCGCUCCAGCACCACGCAGCCAGCCCCAGGCCCCGACAUUAAUCUCUUCUCUCCAAAAGAUAUCAUGCAUCACAGGUGCCUGGCGGAGGGCUAACUUUGGGGACUCAAGGAGGCAUGAGCUUGGAUCCUUGCCUGAGGAACCAGGAGGCCAUCCUAGGGAAGGUUCCAGGCUCCUGUCUGCAUGCUGGCUCCCCAGGCUGAUCCUGUUUCCAGCUCCACAAAAUGCAGUUGCUGUGAGGGUGAAAUGGGGACAUUGCAGGCAGGCCUCACACGCCUCUGUUGCUGACCUUUUUGCAAGAGCAACUAUUCUGCUGCAUUGGUCCAAGCACAUCCUCUGUCUAUUGAUGUGA